rnacentral:rRNA from 1 species
CCUACGGGAGGCAGCAGUGAGGAAUAUUGCGCAAUGGGCGAAAGCCUGACGCAGCGACGCCGCGUGGAGGAUGAAGGUCUUCGGAUUGUAAACUUCUGUUAAGUGGGAAGAAAGCCAAGGCUUUAAUACAGUUUUGGUAUGACGGUACCAUUAGAGAAAGCACCGGCUAAACUCGUGCCAGCAGCCGCGGUAAUACGAGUGGUGCGAGCGUUAUUCGGAAUUAUUGGGCGUAUAGGGUGCGCAGGCGGUGUACUAAGUCAAUUGUUAAAUCCCCCGGCUAACCGGGGAAAUGCGGUAGAUACUGGUAUGCUAGAGGUUGGAAGAGAGAAGUGGAAUUCUUGGAGUAGCGGUAAAAUGCGUAGAUCUCAAGAGGAACACCAAUGGCGAAGGCAGCUUCUUGGUCCACACCUGACGCUCAUGCACGAAAGCGUGGGGAGCAAACAGGAUUAGAUACCCUGGUAGUCCACGCUGUAAACGAUGAUCACUAGACGUUAGUCUCGCUCUGCGAAGAUUAGUGUCGUAGCUAACGCGAUAAGUGAUCCGCCUGGGAAGUCGGUCGCAAAGNUUAAAACUNAAAAUGAAUUGACCGGNNGAGAGNGCGAGGACGACGACGAGGGAGGAGG